CUUUAUUUUUUUGGAGGUUUUCGUAAAAUUUUGUGUUCCCUGAUCGGGCUAUUACUCGGAUUUACUCUUUCAUGCUUCCUGAAUAGUCCAAUUAAUUUUUAAAAGAGUGAAAAAUUUUUCCACGGUUUCUUCGACAAUUUACUCGUUCAAAAAUUUGAGAAAUAUCAUGGUUAUUGGUGUUCAAGAGAACUCCCUUUCUGAUUUUUUGUUAGAUUUUUUAAUGCUCUCUGAGGCUCAAUAAAAAAUACUGUCGAAAUGCAAGUAUUUUAUGAUUCUCUAUUUAUGAAUUUCAGUUGCCGGUACUGACUACUCGCCUAUGUUCACUCUGUUUCAAAGUCUUAUUUAAUUUUAAUAACUCAUGCAUCUGAUUUUGCUUAAUAUAAAAACUAAAUUUUUGCAUACAUGUUUUCUUUUCACAUGUGAAUUCGAGAAAUUUAAAAGAAAAAAAAAGGAAACGAAAAAAAAAAAAAGAAAAAUAAUGCGGAUAUAUAAGUAACCUAGAAAUCCGAAUACCCGCUAUAAACUCAGGUACAUACCUUGAUAGGUGGCAAUGAGCAGGAACGUGUUUUUGGAAUUAUUUGGAAUUAUUGGAAUAUGGUGUAGGGUGCUUUUUAUGGCGUAGAUCUGAAUAACUUAGAAAUUUUUUGAAAUACAGAUCUUGGUUUCUCUAUCCUACAUAAAAUUUUAUUUCUUGUAAAUCUUUCCAAUUUCCUUUGACGUUCGUACCGAGAAUGAGACAAUAUAAAAGAAAAUUAGAAUAGGCAACUCAAAGCCAGACGUCUACGAGUUAGCUUCAGGGGAAGUUUUAGAAGAUAAUCAAUGUAGCAUAAUGCAAGCAAGUAAAACUUUCGGCCUGUUUCAUGUAUCUCUGUACCUACCGAUAUACCUAUAAAACAUUAAUAACAGUGAAAGUCUACAAGUGGGCUAUGCUAAACCAAGAUUAGUUUUUACAACCGAAGAAGAAAUUAUAUCGACUUCAUUGAUAUUCUGAAUUGCGCCGAAAUAUAUUUUGGACUACUUCUCAUGGAGAUACGAAAAUUUGCCAACUGGAAAAUUGACUACCAUGAAACUCGGACCCAAGCAACUUCCUUCUUUUUGACAUCAAAAUUACGCAGCUGGCCCAGAUUGGUUUCCAGAUUUAUUUCUAAGAACACUGCAUAAAUCAUAAAACCGCAUCAAGCAUAAAUGUUUGACAUUUUGAUAAAAAUAAAUAUUUCA
rnacentral:lncRNA from 1 species